AGUAGCGGCGAGCGAAGCGGGAAGAGCUCAAAUUUAUAAUCUGGCACUUUCGGUGUCCGAGUUGUAAUCUCUAGAAAUGUUUUCCGCGUUGGACCGCACACAAGUCUGUUGGAAUACAGCGGCAUAGUGGUGAGACCCCCGUAUAUGGUGCGGACGCCCAGCGCUUUGUGAUACAUUUUCGAAGAGUCGAGUUGUUUGGGAAUGCAGCUCAAAUUGGGUGGUAAAUUCCAUCUAAAGCUAAAUAUUGGCGAGAGACCGAUAGCGAACAAGUACCGUGAGGGAAAGAUGAAAAGCACUUUGGAAAGAGAGUUAACAGUACGUGAAAUUGUUGGAAGGGAAACGCUUGAAGUCAGACUUGCUUGCCGAGCAAUCGGUUUGCAGGCCAGCAUCAGUUUUCCGGGAUGGAUAAUGGUAGAGAGAAGGUAGCAGUUUCGGCUGUGUUAUAGCUCUCUGCUGGAUACAUCUUGGGGGACUGAGGAACGCAGUGUGCCUUUGGCGGGGGUUUCGACCUCUUCACACUUAGGAUGCUGGUGGAAUGGCUUUAAACGACCCGUCUUGAAACACGGACCAAGGAGUCUAACAUGCUUGCGAGUAUUUGGGUGUCAAACCCGGAUGCGUAAUGAAAGUGAAUGGAGGUGGGAACCGCAAGGUGCACCAUCGACCGAUCUGGAUUUUUAAUGAUGGAUUUGAGUAAGAGCACGUAUGUUGGGACCCGAAAGAUGGUGAACUAUGCCUGAAUAGGGCGAAGCCAGAGGAAACUCUGGUGGAGGCUCGUAGCGGUUCUGACGUGCAAAUCGAUCGUCAAAUUUGGGUAUAGGGGCGAAAGAC
rnacentral:rRNA from 1 species